CACGGGGGGUCACACCUGCACAAUGCCCUACGGGGUAAAUUGCCGCGGUAUUCUGACCGUGCUAAGGUAGCGUAAUAAGUUGCCUAUUAAUUGUUGGCCUGUAUCAAUGGUUCGACGCUGGUAGCACUGUCUCGGUGAUAUUCGCUUGAAUUUACCCUUUGGGCGAAAAGGCCCAAAUUAGGCUGAAAGACGAUUAGACCCUAUCGAACUUCAGGCGGAGUAGGUUUUAGGGGCGAGAGCCUAAAUAAGAUCUGUGAGGCUUUUGGUUGGGAAAACCGGGAACCAAAAAAAGCGUUCGCCUGAACACAAUGAUAUACGAAGUGAUUAGCCUAAGGGAAACGUAGAAGUAAGUCAGAAAAAGUUCGCCAGAAAUAUUUUUAGCUAAGACUAAGAGCCUCACAGGUGCAUUGUCAUGUAUAGAGUGGGCACAAGGAAAAGUUACCGUAGGGAUAACAGCGUAAUCCCUCCGGCGAGACCACAUUAAGGGAGGGGUUUGCGACCUCGAUGUUGGCUUAGGGCCUCCUGGGGGUGCAGCAGCUCCCAAGGGUUGGUCUGUUCGACCAUUAAA
rnacentral:rRNA from 1 species